rnacentral:rRNA from 1 species
UUAUACAACCUCAACUCAUAUGGGACUACCCCCUGAAUUUAAGCAUAUUAAUUAGGGGAGGAAAAGAAACUAACAAGGAUUUUCUUAGUAGCGGCGAGCGAAAAGAAAUCAGUUCAGCACUAAGUCACUUUGUCUAUAUGGCAAAUGUGAGAUGCAGUGUAUGGAACAUCAAUAUUCUAGUAUGAGAAAUUAACGAUUUAAGUCCUUUUUAAAUGAGGCCAUUUACCCAUAGAGGGUGCCAGGCCCGUAUAACGUUAAUGAUUAUUAGAUGGUGUUUCCAAAGAGUCGUGUUGCUUGAUAGUGCAGCACUAAGUGGGUGGUAAACUCCAUCUAAAACUAAAUAUAACCAUGAGACCGAUAGUAAACAAGUACCGUGAGGGAAAGUUGAAAAGAACUCUGAAUAGAGAGUUAAAUAGUACGUGAAACUGCUUAGAGGUUAAGCCCGAUGAACCUGAAUAUCCGUUAUGGAAAAUUCAUCAUUAGAGUUGUAAUAUUUAAACAAUAUUAUAAUAAUAGUGUGCAUUUUUUCCAUAUAAGGACAUUGUAAUCUAUUAGUAUCAAUUAAUUUAUCAAAAAAUUUAAGUCAAUUGCUUAUUUAAAUUAAAGUGCUUGCAUUUUAACAUAAAAUAAAAGUCAUAAAUUUGAUAAAGUGCUGAUAGAUUUAUAUGAAUACAGUGCGUUAAUUUUUCGGAAUUAUAUAAUGGCAUGAUUAUCAUUGAUUUUUGUGUUUAUUAUAUGCACUUGUAUGAUUAACAAUGCGAAAGAUUCAGGAUACCUUCGGGACCCGUCUUGAAACACGGACCAAGGAGUCUAACAUAUGUGCAAGUUAUUGGGAUAAAAACCUAAUAGCGUAAUUAACUUGACUAAUAAUGGGAUUAGUUUUUUAGCUAUUUAUAGUUAAUUAACACAAUCCCGGGGCGUUCUAUAUAGUUAUGUAUGAUAAUAUUUAUAUUAUUUAUGCCUCUAACUGGAACGUACCUUGAGCAUAUAUGCUGUGACCCGAAAGAUGGUGAACU